rnacentral:misc_RNA from 1 species
AAGAUGGCCUGAUGCUGGUAGCGCUAAUAGCGUCUCCCCGAACGCACCCACUGUGUCCUGCUGGAAAGCUCCCAAUCUUGUUAUGGAAGAGCUUGUGCAGUGGCUCUUAAUAUAAAUUUGAUAAUUACAGGAGAAAAAAAGGAGGUUUAAAAAGGAUUUCGAGAUAUGGCUGGUACCAUGAGACAAUUGGAGGAGCGUCAACUCUCUGCAGAAGUGACGACAAUGCUGUGGUCACCGAAAAUGGAUCUUUUAGCAGUUAGUAAUGUCAAAGGUGAAGUCGUCCUUCACAGACUCACAUGGCAGAGAGUAUGGUUGUUGAGUCCUCAAGAAGAAUCCGAUACCUCUGUUUAUUUGGCAUGGAGACCAGAUGGAAAGUUGCUUGCAGUGUGCUAUGAAACUUCCAAAUUGUUGUGUCUUGUUGAUGUUGAGACUAAAAAUAUCAUUCAUAAAACCAAAUUACCUACAAAUGAAGUGACUGUCUGUGUCAAAUGGUUAUCACUGUCCAAUACUGAACAUGAAAAUUUAUUGACAAGUGAUAAAACUAAUAAACCUACAGGCGAAUACCUGCCACCUCUGCCUAAUUUAAUCAGAAGUUACAGUUUAGAACCUGAGCGAAAAGAAUUUUUAUCUCAUACCCUAGAUAUGCUGUUUAUUGGGCAAAAAAAUGGUACAGCAUUAAUGUAUAUUUUUGGUAUGUUUUAUUGUGGUACCAUAACUGUAGGUCAUGGGCCAAUCUUGCAGAUUACAGGUGGAUCUACUAAUCCAAUCUGGAUUACCUGGAAGGAUAAUAACUAUAUUAAAACAACUAGAGUAUCAUGUCCAUUAUUUGAAAAAAGCACAGCAUUUCUCAAGGUUGCACAAACUCAAGCCAACAUAGAAUGUUUAAAAGAUUAUCUCGCGCGUACCUUGAUGGCCACUUGCGAAGCUUGGGAGACAAUACUCUUAGAAAUGGAUGAAAAACUCACGCGAUAUUCAGAAGCAAAUCAACCUGGUAUUAUGUCUGCAGAUUUUUUAGAAUUAUUAAUGAUUGGAAUACCCACAAAAAAUUUAGAGACCUUUCUACUUAGAGAUCUCACAGAGAAAGGAUUAAAAAAAUUUGGACACAGUAUUGAAAUGUGUUAUAGUAACAUACAGCUAGUUUCAAAAAAUUUAACUAGUGUCGGUAUGGCCUUAGUUUAUCAAUUAGCUGAAUUAAGAGGUAUGGUGAGAGUAGGUGGCACAUAUGAAGCGUUAGGAUUACGUGAUGAAAUGCUUAUAACUAAUGCUAUUAAUGAAUCUGAGGCUUUUCUGGCAAAAUCUUAUGAAAUCGAGCAAGUUAUAGAUCAGAGUAUGCGUAAUUACAAAGCAUUUUUUCGAUGGUUAUACGUAGCCAUUCUUCAAUUAACGGAUGAAAGAGCACCAUCAGAAGUGAGCCGUGUAAGCCAACAGGAAUUAACAUUUAUCGCAGAAUUUCUGAGCGAUUUUGAUAAACCAAGAGCAAAUGGAAGAAUAAAUUUAGAAAAAUUGGGUCAAUAUUUACGUCGUGAAAAUCUACAGACUCCCCUGACUUCAGAAGGAAGUGAAUGGGCUGCUAUGCUUGAUACAACUGAUUGUUUGCGUAAUUAUCCACAUAUAGUAAAGCAGAAUUUUAAUUUAUCUUUAUUACAAUCUCACGAAAAAUUAGUCGCUGCUGUAGAAAAGGUUUUUGAUGAAGCUUAUCAGAGUCUGGUAGAUCACUUUGUGAUGAAUUCCAUCUCUUUACCAUCAUUUACAUCUCUCAUGUCUUCGCAAAUUGUAACAAAUGAUGAAAAUCUUUUGUUAGCUAUGAGCGAUAGUGACAGCAAACUUUUGAAACUUUUUACUGUAAAGUAUUCACCUGAAGAACCUAUGUCUCUUGGUUCAAAAAUGGUCACGAUAGAAGUGAAUCACAAACAAGGAGAACAUCUAAAAGAAAUCGAUACUGUGAUAGUAGAUCUGCAAUUUUACUCACAAGAUUAUCUUAGCUUGCUUAUAUUAAAUAGACAGACUUAUGCAUCGUUUCUCAUACAAAUGCCAUUACAUGGUAUAUUUAUGUUUGAAUAUCAAGACAAUGAUGCAAUAAUAUUGAUAACUGAUGUCAUUGGUACAACGUGGCCAAAACCAUUUCAAGGAAUAUCUGCAAGACGAUUAGCGGUCAGCGGUCCUCGAAAAGUAGCUGCUAUUUUAAGUGAAAAUAAUAGAAAGAUUCGUUUGCUCGAGACUGAAGCAGAACCUGAGGAUGAAGAAGAUGAUGAUGAUGAAGAAGGACGUUUUAUGGAAAAUAUGGAUACUACACCUACCACACAUUUUCCAGUAGAAACAACAAAAAUUGACAUGCAAGAGUUUUAUAAGGAAGAAAGCUGAGGUAGAAAUAGAAUAUGUACAAUAUACUUAAGGGAAAUCGAUAUCGAGAACAGCGUUAUCCAUUCCAACGUUUUCGAUGCUUGAUGAAACACCAGGUGUAUUAUCUGAUGUAUAGUGUACCGGAGAAUUUUCUCUCGAUUCGUCCAGAUCUGUAAAGAUGAUUUCGAUUUCCUGGGCCAAUAACAUUGUUAGUUCCAAAUUGCCAGAACAUGAAACGAUGAUGGUCAUCAAUACUUAAGCAAGGAAGCUCAGCCAAGUGUCCAGCUAUCACUUCUUUCACUGUUACUAAGUCAUUUGCAGUUUCGGAUUUUUGUAAUAUAAAUAAUGAAUAAAAAAGUACAAAAAGCCACAUGGUCACCUAAAAAUCGAUAUUAUAAAUAUUUCCAUAUAUUACUUCACAGUUGAAUAUCAGAAAAAGUCAAUUACAAAUUUUUUCUUAUUUAUUUAAAUUGUAUUACAUGUAAAAAAAUGAAUAUUCGAGAAAAUAAACAUGUACAGAAAUUUA